UCGGAACAUACCCUAGAGUGGGGGAUAACGUAGCGAAAGUUACGCUAAUACCGCAUACGCACUAUGGUGGAAAGCAGGGGAGUCGCAAGACCUUGCGCUCAUGGAGUGGCCGAUGUCAGAUUAGCUUGUUGGUGGGGUAAAAGCCUACCAAGGCGGCGAUCUGUAGCUGGUCUGAGAGGACGACCAGCCACACUGGAACUGAGACACGGUCCAG
rnacentral:rRNA from 1 species